CACGUAGGGGGCAAGCGUUGUCCGGAUUUAUUGGGCGUAAAGAGCUCGUAGGCGGUUCGGUAAGUUGGGUGUGAAACCUCCAGGCUCAACCUGGAGACGCCACCCGAUACUGCUGUGACUAGAGUCCGGUAGGGGAGCGUGGAAUUCCUGGUGUAGCGGUGAAAUGCGCAGAUAUCGGGAGGGACACCCGUAGCGAAGGCGGCACUCUGGGCCGGUACUGACGCUGAGGAGCGAAAGCGUGGGGAGCAAACAGG
rnacentral:rRNA from 1 species